UACGUAGGGGGCAAGCGUUGUCCGGAUUUAUUGGGCGUAAAGAGCGUGUAGGCGGCUUUGCAAGUCCGUUGUGAAAACUCGAGGCUCAACCUCGAGACGCCGGUGGAAACUGCAAAGCUAGAGUCCGGAAGAGGCGAGUGGAAUUCCUGGUGUAGCGGUGAAAUGCGCAGAUAUCAGGAAGAACACCGAUGGCGAAGGCAGUUCUCUGGGACGGUACUGACGCUGAGACGCGAAAGCGUGGGGAGCGAACAGG
rnacentral:rRNA from 1 species